GAUGAACGCUGGCGGCGUGCCUAACACAUGCAAGUCGAACGGAGAUUACGGACGGAAGUUUUCGGAUGGAAGACUGUAAUUCUUAGUGGCGGACGGGUGAGUAACGCGUGGGCAACCUGCCCUAUACAGGGGGAUAGCAGCUGGAAACGGCUGGUAAGACCGCAUAAGUCGGCGUGACCGCAUGGUUUUGCCGGGAAAUGAGCAAUCAGGUAUAGGAUGGGCCCGCGUCCGAUUAGCCAGUUGGCAGGGUAAAAGCCUACCAAAGCAACGAUCGGUAGCCGGACUGAGAGGUCGGACGGCCACAUUGGGACUGAGACACGGCCCAAACUCCUACGGGAGGCAGCAGUGGGGGAUAUUGCACAAUGGAGGAAACUCUGAUGCAGCGACGCCGCGUGAGUGAAGAAGUAUUUCGGUAUGUAAAGCUCUAUCAGCAGGGAAGAUGAUGACGGUACCUGACUAAGAAGCCCCGGCUAACUACGUG
rnacentral:rRNA from 1 species